GUCGCCGCUGGCUCCGCCCACCGCGUGGUCCAAGGACCACCACCCGCCACCGCCGCGCGAGCGUACUAUUGCGGCCGCCCUCUGCUGCGCCUGAAGAGAGAGGCGACUCUACAAGCCUCACAGCAUGCACUGUUACUAAAAAGACGAUGCGUCCUCCUGGACCUGAGAUCUGUGUGAUCGUGGGAAAGCGACGAAAAACGAACAAAGGAACAGUAAAUGGAGUAACUUGGCUAGAAUAUGGCAGUAACUACAAGGCAUGUUCUGCUCUGGCACGAAGCUCUCUUGGAACUUUGAGCCACCACGUGAGGAGUCUGAUUACCCAUUCGCAAGUGAUGCCUAAACAGCCCCUGUUCCUUCCAGACAACCCACCUGAGGCACCAGACACAUGAGUGAAGCCAUCUUGGACAUCCCAGUCACAGCCAAACUCACUCCUGAGUGCAUCUGCAUGAUGAACCCAGCAAUCCCCACCAUGGAGCAAAGGAUCCAUCCAGUCAACCCAAAGAAUCGUGAAAAAUAAUAAAUUGUUGUUUUAAAGUUCUUCAGUUUGGGAAUAGCUUGUUAUGCAACAAUACAUAAUUAAUACACUGGUCUCCCACUUUCAAGUUUGAUUAACUUUCAGCUAUUUUUCACAUAGCAGGCAGAGUGAUUCCAUUAAAACAUAUAUCAGAUAAUGUCACUGCACUAAGUAAACUCUACAAGGACUCUCAUCUCCCUCAGAGUAAAGGUCACAGUUGUUACAAGGCCCUACGUAAUGUGGCCCUCACCACCACUCCAUUACCUUUUUCUUAUCUACUAUUUGCUAACUUUGCUUUGUCCUCUUUUCUGUUCUGAAACAGGCUAGGCAUGGUCCUGCCUCAAGGCCUUUGCACCACCUACUCUGUCUGCUUGGAUUGUUCUUCCCACAGAUUUCUUGCUCCCUUCUUCCUUCAUGAAGAAAUGUCAUGAAAUGUCCUUCCUUCAUGAAAUGUCACCUUCUCAUUUGAGGCCUUCUGUAGUACCCCAAAGAAUGGUCCCCAAAGAUGUCCACAUCCUUAUGCCCAGAACCUGUGAAUGUGUUAUCUUAAUGGCAAAAGUGACUUUGCAAAUGUGAUUAUAUUUAAGGAUCUUAAGGAGGAGAUUAUCCUGGAUUAUCCAGGAGGGCCCAAUGUAAUCACAAGGGCCCUUAUAAGUGAAAGGGGGAGGCAACAGAGAGAAGGAGAUGUCAUAAUGAAAACAGAUCCAAGUGAUGAGAUUGCUGGCUGGGGUGGAGGUGGAGGGGGGUACAAUCCAAGGAAUGCAAGAAGCCUCUAAAAGCUAGGAAAUGUCAGGACACAAAUUCUCCCCUAGAACCUGAGGAAGAAACCCAGGUUUAUGGACACUGAUUUUAACCCAAUAAGUCCCUUUUCUGACUGCUGACCUCCAAAACUGUAAGAUAAUAAAUUUGUGUUAUUUUAAGCCAACUGAGUUUGAGAUAAUUUAGUUAUGGCAGCAAUAGGAAACUAGCACACCUUCCUAGCCAUCCUAUCUAAAAUGGCAACCCAUGUCCUUCCUGGCACUUCCUAUCUCCCUUCCAUGUUUUUUUUAAAUCAUAUAUACAAUAUAUUUUACUGUUUUACCUAUUGUCUUUUCCACCAGAAAGUAAACUCCACGUAAAUAAGGAUUGUCUGUUUUAUUCUUUGCAGUAUCUCCACUGCCUAGGAUAGCAUCUGCACAUACUGCACACUCAGUACACAUUUGUCGAA
rnacentral:lncRNA from 1 species